GCACUGGUGAUUCAGCGGUAGAAUUCCUGUCUUACAUGCAGGAGAUCUUGAUUCAAUUCCCAGCCAAUACA
rnacentral:tRNA from 1 species